GCGUUUGGGCCCGUGUAAAAUUAACUCCUGGGAUCGUUUCGGCCCUAACUGACUGGAAGGCUGGCUGGUGGAGACCGAGGGGGAAAGGGUGGACCACAUUCUCAUCUUGAGUGAGAACAACCAGAUCAGCCCUUCAGUAUACAAAGAGAGACCUUGGGGAAGAUUAAGGCAUGCCAACAUAUGUAUCCCAUAAGGUGUUCAGGUGGGAGAUGAUGGGAUUUUGCAGGACCUGAUGGAAGUCAGCUAGUGUCUCACUCCAGGCCAGAGCUAGCGUAUUCAAUGUGUCUUGGAGCANAGGGAGCAAACAGAAGAG
rnacentral:lncRNA from 1 species